UGAACGCUGGCGGCGUGCCUAAUACAUGCAAGUCGAGCGAACGGACGCGAAGCUUGCUUCUCUGAUGUUAGCGGCGGACGGGUGAGUAACACGUGGAUAACCUACCGAUAAGACUGGGAUAACUUCGGGAAACCGGAGCUAAUACCGGAUAAUAUUUUGAACCGCAUGGUUCAAAAGUGAAAGACGGUCUUGCUGUCACUUAUAGAUGGAUCCGCGCUGCAUUAGCUAGUUGGUAAGGUAACGGCUUACCAAGGCAACGAUGCAUAGCCGACCUGAGAGGGUGAUCGGCCACACUGGAACUGAGACACGGUCCAGACUCCUACGGGAGGCAGCAGUAGGGAAUCUUCCGCAAUGGGCGAAAGCCUGACGGAGCAACGCCGCGUGAGUGAUGAAGGUCUUCGGAUCGUAAAACUCUGUUAUUAGGGAAGAACAUAUGUGUAAGUAACUGUGCACAUCUUGACGGUACCUAAUCAGAAAGCCACGGCUAACUACGUG
rnacentral:rRNA from 1 species